rnacentral:rRNA from 1 species
GACGAACGCUGGCGGCGUGCCUAAUACAUGCAAGUCGAGCGAAGCGGCGGAUGGGUGCGUACAGCGUGGGUAACCUGCCCUUAAGUCUGGGAUACCAUUUGGAAACCGAUGCUAAUAACGGAUACUAAAGGAUGGACAUGCGAUGCAUUAGCUAGUUGGUAAGGUAACGGCUGACCAAGUCGAUGAUGCAUAGCCGAUUGGAGAUACUGAUCGGCCACAUUGGGACUGAUACACGGCCCAAACUCCUACGGGAGGCAGCAGUAGGGAAUCUUCCACAAUGGACGAAAGUCUGAUGGAGCAACGCCGCGGGAGUGAAGAAGGUUUUCGGAUCGUAAAGCUCUGUUGUUGGUGAAGCGGUAAUCAACCAGAAAGUCACGGCUAACUACGUGCCAGCAGCCGCGGUAAUAC